UACGGAGGAUGCAAGCGUUAUCCGGAAUGAUUGGGCGUAAAGCGUCCGCAGGUGGCUGUGUAAGUCUGCUGUCAAAGAGCGAAGCUCAACUUCGUAAAGGCGGUGGAAACUACACGGCUAGAGUGCGUUCGGGGCAGAGGGAAUUCCUGGUGUAGCGGUGAAAUGCGUAGAUAUCGGGAGGAACACCUGAGGCGAAGGCGGGCUACUGGGCCGAUACUGACGCUGAUGCGCGAAAGCCAGGGGAGCGAACGGG
rnacentral:rRNA from 1 species